GAUGAACGCUGGCGGCGUGCCUAAUACAUGCAAGUCGAACGGGGUUGUUGUAGCAAUACGACAACUUAGUGGCGAACGGGUGAGUAACGCGUUGGUGACCUGCCCCGAAGAGGGGAGUAACAGUCCGAAAGGAUUGCUAAUACCCCAUGUGGUUAUCGGGAUCAGAAUCUGAUAACUAAAGUCGUAAGACACUUUGGGAGGGACCUGCGUCCCAUCAGCUAGUUGGUAAGGUAACGGCCUACCAAGGCUAUGACGGGUAGGGGACCGUGAGAGGGUGGACCCCACCAAUGGCGACUGAAACAACGGGCCGACUACACCUACCGGGUGGGCUG
rnacentral:rRNA from 1 species